GUCCCACCUCCUGCCAGCAGUGGUCUUGGGUUCCUGAUGCUGCCAUGGGCUCCAGGCUCCUCUGCUGUGUGACUCUCUGCCUUCUGGGAGCAGGCCUGGUGGAUUCUGGAGUCACCCAGACUCCCAAAUACCUGAUCAAAUCAAGAAAGCAGCAAGCGACUCUGAGAUGUUCCCCUCACUCUGGACACUUCUCUGUGUACUGGUACCAACAGGCCCUGGGCCAGGGCCCGCAGUUCCUCGUUCAGUAUUACAACCAGAAAGUGAGUGGAGAAUCUCACCUCCUGGAUCGAUUCUCAGGAAAACAGUUCAGUGACUCUCGCUCUGAGCUGAACUUGAGCUCAUUGGAGCUGACGGACUCUGCCAUGUAUCUCUGUGCCAGCAGCCAAGACACAGACCUGCAUGAGCAGAUGCCUCUGGGACAAAAACACUCCUACCCCAGCUCAGGAAGUGGUUGCCAGGGUGUCAGUUGCCAGCCAGCGAGACCCAGACCCAGGUAGAACUGAUAGACUUUCCCAGACAUUCUUUCCUUUGUAUGUUUUAAUGCUCACAAAGAUCAUGCAAGAUAAAGAGUAUUUUAACUGUUUAUACAUCUGAUGGGA